AUGCUCGCUUCAGCAGCACAUAAACUAAAGUUGGAAAGAUAUAGAGAAGAUAAGUAUGACCCCUGUGCAAGGAUGACAUGCAAUUCGUGAAGCAUUCCAUAUUUUU
rnacentral:snRNA from 1 species